UUUUGAAACUCCAUUCUUAGAGAACAAAGAUACUUGUUGAAAAUAAAUAAAUAAAUAUCAACAAGUGGGUGUUUUGAUGGCCAUAAUAAUGCCUGACCACCUGCCAUCGAUGGAAAGCCGAAUACCCCAAAAGGGGACCUCGUGAAACUAAAGAGAAACAGACAUACUUCCUACCCUGCAGCCCUCACGUCUGAGGUGCCUACGC